GGCGGGGGCCGGGGGGGCCGGUGAUGGGAACGAGGCCCGGCGCGCGCCUCGCCCACCCGGGUCGACCCCGAAAGCGCGCGCGCGCGCGCGGGCGGGAGGGGGCGGGACGGAAGCGCGCACCUCGAGGAAAACUCAAGAGACCUAGGCCCAGCACUAGGGUCGCCCCUAGGAAAAGCGGGACUUUGGGAGGGGCCGUUUCCUGCCCCUUCGCCCCCAAAAAAGAUUCUAACCCCCUCCAGACCCAAAUGCCACUCUCCUGGACAAACAGUGUCAGAGAGAAAGGGCGACCACCAAGGGUGAUUUCUGGCGAUGGCCCCAUCCUCUCUGAUUCCUGGCCGGGGUCGGUAGUCAUGGUAACCCUUCCGCGGUCUGGAAGCCUCCCCCUUUGUGGUUAUGAAGUCCCAAACCUGCCCUGUCACUGGACUUGGGGAAGGUUGCUAAGGUAACCUAAGCCCCUGGUGGUCCUUCUGCCCCCACCCUCAUUCGGUUACUAUGGCAACCUCACCUAGCACUCAGGUAGCAAGGACCCCAGCCCCAAGGACACUGACUGCUGAGAGAACACCUCUUUCCCAGCCCCUCCCCCUAGCCGCCCAGCUGGCAUUACCAUGGUAACGGGAUCCCCCCCUCUUUCUCGUCGUGGGAGGCCUGUGGCCCAAACCAACCAGGUGUUUUUAUUUAGAGGAGAAGAUGCUCUGCGGAGGACUAGUUGCUAUGGUUACAGGGCCUGGCCCAGGAGGUGGAGACGGGCAAGGUCAAGCCCUGGUUACUAUGGUAACAAGAGCAGCCCGACCUCCCCCCCUCUCCCCCCCCCCCUUCCAGGGACCCUAGGAACCAGGCCCACCAAGGCAGGGGAUGUUUUAGGAUUGUGUCUCAGGAUGGAGUGUGUCUAGGGAAGGCGUUGUCAUGGUAACAGCUCUGGUCACUUCUAGCCCCACCUCUCUGGACACAUUCAUAAGAAAGGGAUGGUUAUAGGUCGCUGUGGCAACUGACACCCUUCCCACCCACUCCUGAGACACUCCAGGUGGUGCCUGAGCUUAUGGAACUUCAAGAAAAAGGAUUCUCUGACCUUCUCGCUGCCACUUCUGUAGGUAAGAUGGAGCCGUACUCUCUUGUGCAAAAUUGGCUGAUUUGGGGUUUUCUGGUCCUCGUUCCCUCAGCAGUGCAUGUGAGCUGGUCUGGAACCGCCCACCGGGAGCUCCCACAGCAGCCUAGGAGGAUGCCCUGGAGGCCCAGCUAGGGCCCGACUUUGGCCCCAUGCGGCUCACCCGCUGCCAGGCUGUCCUGGCAGCCGCCAUCACGCUCAACCUCCUGGUCCUCUUCUAUGUCUCGUGGCUACAGCACCAGCCCAGGAACUCCCCGGCCCGGGGUCCCCGCCGUGGAGCUGCCGCCGGCCCCCGCGUCACCGUCCUGGUGCGCGAGUUCGAGGCCUUCGACAACGCGGUGCCAGAGCUGGUGGACUCCUUCCUGCAACAGGACGCAGCCCAGCCGGUGGUGGUGGCCGCCGACACGCUCCCCUACCCACCCCUGGCCCUGCCCCGGGUUCCCAACGUUCGUCUGGCGCUACUCCAGCCCGCCCUGGACCGGCCCGCCGCCGCCUCGCGCCCCGAGACCUAUGUAGCCACCGAAUUCGUGGCCCUGGUGCCCGACGGGGCUAGGGCCGAGGUACCGGGCCAGCUGGAGCACAUGGUGGAGGUGCUCCGGGCCGGAGGUGCACGCCUGGUGGCCGCCCCGGUCGCCUCCGCCAACCCCGCCCGCUGCCUGGCCCUGAACGUCAGCCUGCGCGAGUGGACCGCCCGCUACGGCCCCGCCCCGUCCGCGCCCCGCUGCGACGCCCUGGACGGGGACGCCGUGGUGCUCCUGCGCGCCCGCGACCUCUUCAACCUGUCGGCGCCCCUGGCCCGGCCGGUGGGCACCGGCCUCUUCCUGCAGACGGCCCUCCGCGGCUGGGCCGUGCGGCUGCUGGACCUGCCGUUCGGCGCGGCGCGCCUGCCCCCGCUGGCCACGGCCCACGCGCGCUGGAAGGCGGAGCGCGAGGGGCGCGCGCGGCGGGCGGCGCUGCUGCGCGCGCUGGGCAUCCGCCUGGUGAGCGGGGAGGGCGGGCGGCUCGAGUGGUUCGGCUGCAGCAAGGAGACGCCGCGCUGCUUCGGGACGGUGGUGGGCGACACGCCGGCCUACCUGUACGAGCAGCGCUGGACGCCGCCGUGCUGCCUGCGCGCGCUGCGCGAGACCGCCCGCUACGUGGUGGGCGUGCUGGAGGCGGCGGGCGUGCGCUACUGGCUGGAGGGCGGCUCGCUGCUGGGGGCCGCCCGCCACGGGGACAUCAUCCCGUGGGACUACGACGUGGACCUGGGCAUCUACCUGGAGGACGUGGGCAACUGCGAGCAGCUGCGCGGCGCCGAGGCGGGCUCGGUGGUGGACGAGCGCGGCUUCGUGUGGGAGAAGGCCGUAGAGGGCGACUUCUUCCGCGUGCAGUACAGCGAGAGCAACCAUCUGCACGUGGACCUGUGGCCUUUCUACCCCCGCAACGGGGUCAUGACCAAGGACACGUGGCUGGACCACCGGCAGGAUGUCGAGUUCCCCGAACACUUCCUGCAGCCUCUCGUGCCCCUGCCCUUCGCUGGCUUCGUGGCGCAGGCGCCUAACAACUACCGUCGCUUCCUGGAGCUCAAGUUCGGCCCCGGGGUCAUCGAGAACCCCGAGUACCCCAACCCGUCACUCCUGAGUUUGGCGGGAAGCGGCUGAGGCUCCAGCGGCCGCUCCUGGGGUCGGGAGAAGAACGCUCAUGCGCGGGGAGCUGGCCUUCGCUUCGGCGCCGCUGGCGUUUGGUGGGCGGGCCGGGGAUGCCCAGCUGCCCUGCAAGGCCCAGCACAGGCCCGGACGUCGAAGACCUACGCUGCCCAAGAUUUCCGAGAGCGUGGGCUUUAUUCAGAGCACGGACACUUUUUGUAAAGAGGAAAGCGUGUGGGUUCUGGGCUGGACUGCCGCGACCAAAACCCCAGCUCUACCACUUGCGACUUAGGUGGGCCUGGGCGACUGUCCCAGCUUCUCUGUGCCUCAGUUUCUUCCGGGAUUCAAUGAGCGCCCUCUGUCCAGCUCACAGUCCGUGGGGCACUUGGUUGCUGGGGCUGCUUCCGCCAGCAGGGGGCGCCGUUGUCCUGCUGUGGGGCCAAGGCGCCGGACCGGAUAACUAUCGCCCUUCGAGAGCCCCGGGAGGUGCUUGCUGCCCUUGACCUCCUCUUCCGGAGGAGGGAACAGGCUCAGAGCCCUGAGCUGCAGCUAUGGUUAAGAACCGGGUCCUGGAUGCCGGCCCCACUCCAUGUUAACGGUGUUACCUCAUUAUUUCAGCUCUCUGCACCUGUUAGCCCACUGCAAGGCCGGAUAAACAGUCGUCAUAACUCACGUUACUCAGCACAUACCGUGUGCCAGGCAUCCUUCUCAGUAUUUCACACAGAUUCACUGAUUUAUGUCUCACCCCCAGGUCCUGAGGUGAGAGCUGCUAUUAUUUCCAUUUUACAGGGGAGCAAACUGAGGCUAGAAUGGUAAAGCCAUUUGCCCAAGGUCAGACAGCUUGGGAAGUGACCGAGCAGGGACUUGAACCCAGGCAGUCAGUCUGGAGCCCACACAGAAGUUGGACACUAUGCCCCUCUCGGUGGUACCGCUCUGCGUCUCCGAAACUCUGCUUUGCACCUAAGAAAUGGAGGUGACUGGGUGCUGGGUGGCACUUGAGUGGUAAAGGGGUCAGGAAUCAAGGCUGGGGUUGGCUCCUGGCUUGGCCACUUAUUUUCCUGGUCAUCUUAGGCAAGUCACGGCCUCCCUGAACCUAUAGGUCGGGUGUGGGGGAUCGGUGUCAUUGCAGACACAUGAAGCCCUUGGAGGAGGAGACCUCACAGGCCAGCAAGAGGGAAGACGCAUGCAAAUUUGUCCCAGUCUCCUGAGACUCAGAUGUCCAAAGCCUGACUUCUUAGAACACAGCCUCUGUUUUUAGCCACUGAACCCGCAAAUGGCCCCGAGACUGUUGGGUUUCCGUGGAGCGUUUGAGAAACAUACGGGGAUGAUUUGGGGUGAUCACGGGGUGCUCUUGGCUCUCCAGAGCCACGGCCCAGGGAUGGAGACGUCCCAUAAUAUGCAGGGCGUCUCCACCUAAUAAAACAUCGUCCCUCGUCACGUGCGGUUUUGAAAUGCCCCACAGGGCAUUCGUGAAGGAUGUGUGAUGUCCAAAACCUUUUGUAACAGGUACAGUAAUAUAAAUUAAUAUAUCAGUUAAUAUAUGCA